UACGGAGGAUCCGAGCGUUAUCCGGAUUUAUUGGGUUUAAAGGGUGCGCAGGCGGCUUUGUAAGUUAGAGGUGAAAUUUCGGUGAUUAACAUCGAACGUGCCUCUGAUACUGCGGAGCUAGAGACCAGUUGCAGAAGGCGGAAUGUGUAGUGUAGCGGUGAAAUGCUUAGAUAUUACACAGAACACCGAUUGCGAAGGCAGCUUUCUAAGCUGGAUCUGACGCUGAGGCACGAAAGCGUGGGUAGCGAACAGGAUUA
rnacentral:rRNA from 1 species